GAAAACAAGCAGAGAUUUUACUAGAAAUGACAAGGAUUACAUUACAUACAUAUAUUCAUAAUCAAUGAUCAAGAAAGCAUGCACAAAACUUUCAGCUUUCAACAAUGGAUACAGGCUCUCCCUUUUCUUUACCCUCAAUCUUCUGCAUGAUUCUAACAACAGCAUUUUUAACCUCUAUGAUUCUGAUAUUGCAAAUGAGAGGAUUCAGCAUGGGGAUCACAAUAAUGUAAAACACAGCAGCCACCUGAUCAUUUCUCAAGGAGCAGG
rnacentral:lncRNA from 1 species